GAACUGUACUGUGAUAUAUUCCAGCUGAAAAUCCCUGUCAGAAAUGCCACCAAAAUCCUUUUUGCCUCGGACGAUAAUUUGCAGAAUGUUUAGAGGAUGCAGAGAAGUGAGGGGACGGCCUGAUUUGAGUUCCACACCACAGCUCCGAAUCUUCACACCCUUCUCAGCUGCCAGGAGAACAGAACAAGGAGGAAGCACCCUCCUGCUGAGCUCCCUGGACUACCUCUCUGUGGCAUCAGGUACCAGCAGAGUUCCUGAGGGCAAGUCCAGGCGAAAAGGCUGGGAGCAUGACAGCCCCUCCUGGCAUCAGCCCACAGGUCCUCCACGUCAGGAACCUGAAGUUACCCAAGUUAAACACAGCCACAGGUGUAAACCUCACCAAAGCAAAGCAAACCAUCCUUUACGACAGAGUGUAAAGACAAAGGAGCUACAGUCCAGACAACAAUGUCUAUCUCCACAUUUUCCAAAGUUUCACCAUGC